UGCCGUCCGCGCUCCGUGGCGCGGGGCCGGGGCGCGCCCUCCGCAGAGCUCAGCCCGAGCCCCCAGGUGACCCGCACCCCGCCGCUGCUUCGCCCCGCUGUGCAGACGACGCUCCCGCACCGCGCAAGGUCCCGCCGGCGAAGACCGUCUGCGACCGAGGCCACCCUGGCCCGCGGGCCCGCCAGGGACUGUGGAGACCCCGGCGCCGCAGGGAGGACAGUAACGGGAAAGCGGGCGCUGUGUGAGGCGGGGUAUGUCUUGGACAACAAGGCUAAGCCUUCAAAGUAAGGAAGUGUCCAAAAAAGCUGGAAAGAAUGCCCCACGGUGACGGGGGAAUGCGAGAGAAAUCAGCCAAGUGAAAGAGCUCUCAAUGCCCAAAACUACGAUAACUUAAGGAGAAAGUAGUGUAGAUUACGAGUCAAACGAAGACAUCUCCGUGAGCGCGUAAAGGCAGGAGUAAGCGACUGCGUGGAGAAGAGGUGAAACUUCCACAUAGAAUGCGAAUAGUUACAUAGUACCAACUCCCCACGGUCGGUGUUCCUGCAGCCCUGUACUAAUAAAAACAUAUAAUAAUUAAAAACACACAGAUACUCUACUCUACGUGUGGGCUGUGUAUACACACUGACUGCCUCCAAGAAAGCACUGUGGAAGGACAAACAGUAGUUUUUCAGCGAUGCAGCCAUAGUCAUCCCCUCGUCCAGGAGCUCAGGGUCACCAUCAUCAGUCGUGUCGCACUGAUGUUACUCCGAACCUUUCAUAGGUGGUGGACAUGGCACUUUCCCUUCGGGGUAGUCCUCCGCAGAACCCGAAACCCGAAAUCCUAGCCUUACCCUCAGAAAAAUACCAAACAAAUCCCAAUACUGGCAAAUCCUUUAAAGUGUCUGACCAACCUUCCUCAAAGCUGUCGAGGUCAUCAAAAAGAAGGAAAGUCUGAAAACUUGCUCCAGCCGAGGGAAUCCUAAGGGAACCUGAGAGAUAAAGGUAGUGAAAUAUCCACGAUGGGACUAUCCUCCACAAAGGACAUUAAGUCAAAACUAAGGAAAGCUGGAACUCCUUUUUGCUCCGAGGGCAGCCACCUCCUCAGAGAUCGCCUGAAAGAACACACCGCAUAAAUUACCUCCACUGUAAAAUAGGCAGGAGAGAGUUGCUUGUGGGGAAUCUAGGGUCAUUGGAAAGAGGCUGUUCCUGUCACAGGGCUGUUUAGAGGGCUGAAGGAGGUUGUACAUAGAAAGGGCUCAACAGCUGCCCAGAAUAAGCAGGAAAGACACCAUUGUUUAUUUGCAUUUGAAAGGGCAUCAGCAGCAUGAACAAAUAAAUGAGUGGGCAAAAUUUUAUGGGAAAACACAAGUCCACAUGAGAAUAUUCACAAGAUGAGGCAGGCCUUCAAUGUGAGGUCUUUCAAAUUCGUAAAUAAUCAUAGAAGUAUAGAAAUUGUGAAAGGGCUGUGGGCCUCUUUGGGGAAUGGUGUCCAGCAUAGCCUCAUUUUCAUCUCCACUGCUCCAUUUCAGCUCAGGCCUCAGCAAGCCACAGUGCAGCUGUGACCCCCUGAGGUGCAUCUCUGCCUAAGGCCUGAGACCUCUGUGGCUCUUUCAAGCCUCCUGUGUUUGGCCAAGGUGGCUGCUCUGGUUCCAGCCAUCUUGUCUGUCUACACUUCAGUCAUCAGAAAGGAGAAACCAAGAAAAACAAAUCUUCUUUGAACAUUAUUCCACAGAAGUUGCACAAGCUUGUUUUCAUUUACAUCCAUUGGCCAGACUUUAAACACACGACCUCAUUAACUGUGGGCAGAGCAGGCAUUAAUGUCUUCCAAAUUGACAUGUGCUUAGUGAAAGCUGGAGGUGGGGGAUUUCUAAGUAAAACAAUGAAGGGGAAAAAUGUACUCUUUUAGUCAGUUUUUCACUGCUGGAUCAAAAUAGCUGACAUACACAAUUUAAAGGAGAAGAGGUCUAUUAGGGUGCCUGAUUUCAGAGGUCAGUCCAUGGUUGGCUGGCUCUAAGGCAGAACCAUCAUGGCAGAAGUUCAUGGUGGAAGAAUGCUGCUCACCUCAUAGCAGCCAGGAAGCAGAGAGAACAAUAAAGAGGCAUAGGGAAGGGAACCAAGCAACAGAUAUACAGACAAAAUUGUGCUUUACUAACCUCCUAGUGUUUCUCAAAUCAAUCCAGUUGACAAUAAAGAUUAACCAUCACAUGUACAUUGAGAAACAAGAAUUUCUCUUGCCACUGGGACCCAAUGGUCUUUGAAAUGUGACCUUUUUCCCUACUAAAACUCUUUCCAUGACCACCUAAUUAAUCUCUCUGUCUACACUUACUAAUUCUCCUGAGUCAGUACCAUCAGUUAUAAAUUAAUAUACAUUAAUAUACAUAUUUAAUUAAAUUACUAUCCUAUCUGACAAUCUUUACUGAGUCUCUUUCACUUACAGACAAAGCUCCUCCCCUUUUGCUAACAUGAAUUAAAAUCCUUCACAAUAGCAUUUCCACUUGAUAUCCAUCUCUCUUCCUACCUUGCUGUAUUAGUCAUUUUUCUGUUUCUGGGACAAAAUACAUGACCAUCGCAAUGUAAAGCAGAGAGGUCUAUUCGGCUCAAGGUUUCAGAAGGUUCAAUCCAUGGUUGGUUGCAGAAACAGCAUGGUGGAAGGGCAUGGCACAGGAGAGCUGCUCAACCCACAGCAGCCAGGAAGCAGAGAGAGCAGGGAGGAGCUGUGGCCAAGAAUGACACCUCCUCAGGUCACACCUCUAGCAACCCACCUCCAACCAGGCCCUACCUCCUAGCAGCAUAUUCACCUAUGAACUCAUCAACUGGUCAAUCCACUGUUGAGUACAGCAUCUACAUGAUUUAAUCACCUUUCAAAAGUCCUGCAUCUGAACACACAAGGCUUUUGGGGGACAUUUUAGGUCUACGCUAUAACACCGGCCUUUCACUGAAUAUAGUAGUAGAUUUCAGUUCUCCAUGACUUUUCACAUGAUAGGUCCCCUACAAGAAUUGUCUCCCUAAAAAGACAUAACCAACGAUUGAUAUCUAAGCCUAUCAUAGGUCAUUUCUUUUAUAAAUACCAUUUUCAAGUCCCAUGUAGUAAAAGUAAUCUACCCUUGCUCUAAAUAGUCACUGUUUUAUGCUGCCUCUUGUUAGAAUAAAUUGUAACAUUUUCAUAUUCACAACUA